rnacentral:lncRNA from 1 species
CGCAAAUCGAUCUACGAAGCAAAUUAACCUCUUUUUUUUUUUUUAAAAAAAAUAUAGCACGUUGUCUGCUUCAUUCAUUUCGAAAAUGAACUUAGCUACAAAUAGUGGGACAACAUAGCCUCAAAAAGAAAAAUAAAGAUCAAAGAAAAAAAAAGAAAGAAAAAUAACAGUAAAAGUAAUCGACAGGUUAUUCAGCUUAAUAAAAGUCCCUCAACUCUCUUACCAAUUCCUUGAUACGCCCAGGUGGAGAGGGUUGGCAAAGUGGUUAUUAAAAAUCGCGUUAUUUCUUUCCUUCCAGAUUAGCCACCAGCACGCUGCUACAGUAAUCAGAUCCUGCAGAAUCUCCCCCGACUUAAUAUUUUUUAUCAUUUUACUCCAUACGUCCUCCACCGUUGGGGGUUAAGGGGUGGAAUAAUCCCUUAACCCCUAUAUUAUCCCCAAAUAUCUCCAAAAAUGUGUAGAGUUAGCUAACCCUACCUCAAAUGGGUUAUUCCGGGUUAACUAACCCUACCUAACUCCACAAAACUCCAACCAAACACUAUUUUCUAUUCAAAAUAACCUACUAUUCUUCUUAUCCCAGCUAUUCCAACCAAAUACUAUUUUUCACUAUCCUGAACUAACUCCAACCCCCAACCAAACACAAAAAUACUCUAACCCCACCUAAACCCUGAACUUAAUUCUAUUUCUGGAAUAACUAGUUUUUCUUUAACCCCGAACCAAACAAUAGAUGUCCUCUAAGAUUAAAAAACUUAACUCAAUACACCUCUAAA